UUGAACGCUGGCGGCAUGCCUUACACAUGCAAGUCGAACGGCAUCGCGGGAAAGCUUGCUUUCCUGGCGGCGCGUGGCGAACGGGUGAGUAACACAUCGGAACGUACCGGCUAGUGGGGGAUAACCCGUCGAAAGACGGGCUAAUACCGCAUACGCUCUUCGGAGGAAAGCAGGGGACCUUUGGGCCUUGCGCUAGCCGAGCGGCCGAUGUCCGAUUAGCUAGUUGGUGGGGUAAAGGCCUACCAAGGCGACGAUCGGUAGCGGGUCUGAGAGGACGAUCCGCCACACUGGGACUGAGACACGGCCCAGACUCCUACGGGAGGCAGCAGUGGGGAAUCUUGGACAAUGGGGGCAACCCUGAUCCAGCAAUGCCGCGUGGGUGAAGAAGGCCUUCGGGUUGUAAAGCCCUUUCGGCAGGGAAGAAAUCGGCGGGGCGAAUAACCCUGCUGGAUGACGGUACCUGCAGAAGAAGCACCGGCUAACUACGUG
rnacentral:rRNA from 1 species